rnacentral:tRNA from 1 species
GGGUGGAGCAGUCUGGUAGCUCGUCGGGCUCAUAACCCGGCCUGUCACGCAGGAGAUCGCGGGUUCAAAUCCCGUCGGGACCGCCA